GAGUCUGAUAUACUUGAUUAGGAUUCUACUUACAAUCAAAUGCCAGCUCUGCCUCCUUGAGACGGCUCUCAGUCAGCUUGAUUGGGCUUAUGACCGCGUUGUGCCAAACUCAUACGAACCAUUUCUGAAAUCCAUGUGAAAAGAAACAGUAGCGAAAUUGCUUAUCCAGAAUGUAAGAAGAUUGCAGCAUCAGCUGAAAAGUCCGUCUGUGACAGGCUUUUCACAUCACCGAGAGGCAGAGCCCCAUGCUGGGAGAGGCGGAGGCCCCCGCUGGGAAAUGCUGUCUGCACAUUUGCUGGGUUUCUUGUAUUGCUGGGCUCUUUGUGUUUUGUGGUACAAGCCUGAAGCAGCAGAAUAUGUGAAAUGAGGACAGGUCCAGGCCAUGAGGACACUCAAGCAGCUCUGUGGAGAGAUCCUCGUGGAGAGGAAGAGAGGCCUCGCCGCUAAAACUAGCACCAACUUGCCAGCAUGUGAGUGAACUACCGAGGAAGAUCUUUCCUCCCCAAUCAAACCUUCAGAUGACUGGAGCCCCGGCCAACAUCUGACUGCAGCCUCAUGAGAGACUCCAAGCUAAAACUGUCUAGCCAAGCCAUGACCUAAUGUUCUCUCUGCCAAAACUACAAUAUGUAAUAAAUGAUUGUUUUUUUUAAUAGGCCA
rnacentral:lncRNA from 1 species